GGAAGUAAGCCUUGACCAAUACAUUUCGACGUUAGGGUUUUUGUUGUUAUUUAGAUAUUUAUUAAUACCCUGCAACUUAGCAUAUGACAAAUUUUAACUGCAAAGCAUAACAUGCUUACCCCAGGUAGUCGUUAAUUCGCGUUGGAGACAGGGCUUGGUUGAUAGAUGAGAUCUAACUAGGUGGUAACGUUAACUAACAAUGGCCAAUUGUGUGGUUUUUCACACUCAAAUAGCCUCCAUUAUGGAGGUGCUAGCGAAUGCAGCCGUGGCAGAGAUAUGUACACUCGUAGACGACGACUAUGCAGUGUUUCGUCUGGAAAUAACUCAAAGACAAAAAGAAAACAGGGCAUUGCGGAGGAAACUACAGCUACUGGAACUGAAGGUGUCACGGGAGCGCGUCCUCACCAUUCGUCCCAGUAGUGUCAAGAUCUUCGACCGAUACAGAGGAAUGGCAAGAGGUACAGUUUUUAACCACAUUGGGUUAAACACUUCGUCAGUUUUUGGAUUGUAUGAAAUAGUUCCCCUGAUUACUUAGCUAUCUUGCACAAAUACAUCAUCAUAUUCUUGAUGUACUACAUGUCCUAUGACUAACUCAUUGAAAACAAUGAUGCAAAUCAACUCAUGUCACAUGCACCGAAUACAACAGGCUGUAGACUUUACAGUGAACAUCCAGUGACAUCUCACUGGAAGCCACAGGAGCUUUGUGAAGCCAACAGGACACAAUAGAUGGAGAGAACCAACCAAUCACUCUUGAUGAGGGGAACGGAACCUCAACCCAGCAUGUUAUCAUGAUAGAGUCUGCAGAUGCAGAGGCUGCAGGUCCUGGGGUCAAGCAGGAGAGGACUAAAGGAGAGAAGGAACCACAGCACAUGGGAGACAUCCAGACUGGAGUGCCCCCUGAAGCCAUGGAGGAUCCCACCUCCACCCCAGCACCAUCCAUAACCCGACCCAGCAUCACGGAGGUCAGUGGAACGCCGUCCUCAAGUCAGAGACAGACACGGAGACGUUAACUGCAACACACAGGUUCUUACACACAGGAUCUGACCACAGCUCAGACCCAGAGAGAUUUGGGCUGGGGCCAUUGGGCUGUCCUUCUCCCUGUUCAGAGUACUUGCCAGUAUUUCACCAGAGCAAGAGGAUGGUUCAUUCCUGUGGAGGCGGUGAUGGUGACACGUUAGACCCUGGUGUUGAUGUUCCGUCUUGUCCUUACGCUACAGAGAUGGACCCUGACAACAUGUCAAUGGGUUUAGACACACAGGCUGAUCUGUCAAGAGGGGGACUGGAACCAUUAUACUAGUAGUGUAUACUCUGAAAGGUCCCUAGAUAAGAAAGGGGAGGUUAUAGUCAUAGAUGAAGUCAAAGUGGAGGGAGACUCUCCUCUGACCUUGAACGCAGACAAGACUCACUUAGGGGAAGGACACUCACAAGGCAGAGAUUUCUUAGAUUACAGGGAAAGCUUAGAGACAAAUCCGAAUGUUGCGGCCCACUCCCCUUUACACACGCUCAGGGAUCGUGACCCAGUGUCCACGUUGAUGGGGCCUUCCGAUUCACAGGGCUGCGUCCUUUUGGAUCAGGUAUUGAACUCAAAGGGCCAAGGGGAGGGGAGGGGGAGCAACAUCAGGCAAUAGUAAAGAGAAACGGUUCCUCUGCAUGUUCUGUAACAAAGGCUUUGGCUGCCUCCAGAAGGUGGAGAUCCACCAAAGGGUCCUCACAGGGGUGAAACCCUUCAGCUGUUCCCAGUGUCACAUGCGUUUUGCUGAGGCUGGCAAUCUGAAGAGGCACCAGAGGGUCCACACAGGGGAGAAACCCUUCAGCUGUACCCAGUGUCAUAUGCGCUUCUCCCACUCGUCCAGCAUGAAGAGGCACCGGAGGGUCCACACAGGGGAGAAAUAUUAAAGCUGCCCUGAGUGUAAGAAAGGUUUUCCCAUCAGAACUACCUAAAGAUGCACCUUCAGGUCCACAUGGGUGAAAGGCUGUUCACCUCCUAAGCAAAGUGGGAAGAGGUUCUCAGAUAGGAGAUACCUCAGGAUACACCAGCAGAAAAAACAUUCCACUAAAUAACUUCUGACAUUUUAGAUCAAACCCUGCAUUAAAGACAAAGAUACAUUUUCAGUAUUGUCCGCAGAAAAGAUCCACAGAUGCAUUUGGAAUGACGAGAGUGAGAUUUCAGUGUUGAAUAUUCUUGGGUAGAAUAUUGCAUCCAGACAUUGUGAUAUAUAAGGCAUAUUUAAGCCUAAAAAGUCUGUUACAUAUUGUGUAGGCUAUAUGAUGUAUAUUACUUCCAUUUAACUACCGUACUUCAUUUUUUCCCCCAAGACAAUUGUAAUGAGAAAAUGAUUGCAGUUUAUAAAGUUUAGGGCUGUCCCCGACAAAAAAGAAAGAAAAGUUAGUUGACCGAGAGUCGUCUGUUCUUUUGACAAUCGAUUGGUAGACAUUUUUUACAUGUAUUUUUUUAUACAUAGUGUUUUAAUAAAAUCAACUGUAUGCACUGA